GGGCCUUAAAAAAUGAUGGACAUUGAUAAUAACACUAAAACACUCAUUUUUUGAUGACCUAAAGUUUUGAUUCCAUGUUUCAAACUGUAUUUAAAAAUGAGUUAUAUUUUUAAAGGCAUUUGAAGACUUUUGUCUUAAAUUGUGAAGGAUUUUCAGUGAGGUAUUUAGGUAUUUAACCUUUUUCGAAGGAUUUUUAAGAUGAAUUUGAAACUUUUCACUCUUGGAAAAGUCUUCUGGAUAUACCAUCUAAAGUACUGUGUGCCAUUUCAACCCUUCCAUUCUCCUCAAGCUAUUUUUCAGUUCUCUACUGAGCUUUGGCUUCAACUGGGCCAAAACCAGCUCGUGCACACUCUUCCUUUUCUUACUUCUCUCUCACCUUCACUCACCCCAUGAAAGGACGGUUGUUUGGGAUAUAAACCAUAAGGAGCCAGCCCACCUCAGAAAAUUGUGGACUGAGAGACACUACAAUGACUCUAAGAACAAGAGAACAGGUUGGAGCUCACAGAGUUAAUACGUUCUCUCUGUUGUUCAAACGACAAAGAGUUGACCAGUUCUCUCUACGUAACAUAUUGAGAUGUUUUGUUUGUUUCAUUUUGUUUUGUUUUGUUCAAUCCACUUUUAAGAUAGUGACGUUCUGUCCUAAACUAUUCUCUUUUAGUAAAGGUAGAGUGUAGGAAACAAGCACGGGGAUUCUUUUCUAAGAUAAUAAGGAGAAGAAGACGGUGAUAAUCUUCAAGAGCUUGUUAUGGAAGCCUGUGGUAGCACACCCUGUUUAUGAUUGCACAUGUGCACAUAAUCUAUUAUGAUCUAAUGCAAAUACAGCUCCCAAAACAUUAAAUGUACAUAUAUAUUUUAAUUGCCUGGGGAAAUUUUUCUUAAUAAAUUGAAGAUGAUCCGU
rnacentral:lncRNA from 1 species